CAGGGGUUAGUUUAUAAAAAUGUCGGUUUUGGGGACCGAGGAUAGGGAAUCUCCCUACCCCUGA
rnacentral:tRNA from 1 species